CCUACGGGAGGCAGCAGUGAGGAAUAUUGGUCAAUGGGCGCAAGCCUGAACCAGCCAUCCCGCGUGCAGGAAGACGGCCCUAUGGGUUGUAAACUGCUUUUCCAGGGGGUGAAUUAAUCCGACGUGUCGGGUUUUGACGGUACCCUGGGAAUAAGCAUCGGCUAACUCCGUGCCAGCAGCCGCGGUAAU
rnacentral:rRNA from 1 species